CAAUAGCGUAUAUUAAAGUUGUUGCGGUUAAAAGCUCGUAGUUGGAUUUCUGCCGAGGACGACUGGUCCGCCCUCUGGGUGAGCAUCUAGUUCGGCCUGGGCAUCUUCUUGGAGAACGUAGCUGCACUUGACUGUGUGGUGCGGUAUCCAGGACUUUUACUUUGAGGAAAUUAGAGUGUUUCAAGCAGGCGUCUGCCUUGAAUACAUUAGCAUGGAAUGAUGAUAUAGGGCCUCGGUCCAUUUUUGUCGGUUCCUUGGACUGAUGCAAUGAUAAACAGGGACAGUUGGGGGCAUUCGUAUUUAACUGUCAGAGGUGAAAUUCUUAGAUUUGUUAAAGACGAACUACUGCGAAAGCAUUUGCCAAGGAUGUUUUCAUUGAUCAAGAACGAAAGUUAGGGGAUCGAAGAUGAUCAGAUACC
rnacentral:rRNA from 1 species